GGGCCAAUCCCAGGACUACAAGGCGGUUUUAAAAUGCAGCUCCUACUACAGAGAAGAGAUGGAGACCACUUAAGACUCAUCCCAGGCCUCUGGGACACCGUCCUACCAGCUGCCCCUUCUCUGGGCCUGGAGGUCAAAGUCCCAGCCGUAGAAUCAGGUAAUCUAGUGGCUGCAACAUCCCAGGGCUGGCCCCUCGAGGUCCCAACAGGACAGGAGCCUGGGAUGGGUCUGGAGUUGGGGACAGAGAGAGGCCAAAGUCCUCCUCCUGCUGUAGUCACAGUUAUGGGUUCUGAGCACUUAACAGCAGCCAAAGGUCCCCUUUCCAUUGCUCGCCUCUUCCCUGCAUGCGCCCAUGCUGAGGUGACAGGACACCAGAGCUCCCCGAUCAGAAAUACCUGCCCUUGGUCUCUCCUUUGGUCACAGGCACAAACAGUGCUUGUCUCAGGUCUGCUUUCUGAAGCCCUCUCCUCCUGGGCCCAGGCAGUAGUGGGAGUGAGUGCAGUUAGGACUGAAUUGACCAGAAGUGGAGAGGGCUUCAGUGUCUCUGAGGUCAAGCUGGGUUUUGUGGAGGAGACAGGGGAGGCCCUCAGGAGGACAGGCUGCCCCUAAUUCUGUAGGCAGAGGUGGGGAAGCUGCCAGACUGUGAAGUGCUAGGGAAGGGUGCAUGGGCAGAGUGGAAGCCGUGAGAGGCGGCUGAGACUGGCUGGGUGACAAGCCCUAGGUGAACUGAGGCUUGGGAGAUGCCAGGCUAGCACAGUCUUGCAGGGGGAGUCGCCUAAGCAGGCACAGCCCAGGUCUCCAGGCAGUGCGUGCAAUCCCCAGGUACUGAGGACAUGGCACAGGAUGGGAUGGGAUGGGACAGGGAUUUGUAUGGAGACAGUUUUCUGUACUACAUAAAAAUAACUACAAAGAUUACGAAGAACAACUAAACUAUUUCCCUCUUCAAAAGAGCUGAGUGGGAGUGCACUCAGUAUUCCCAACUUCUUGGCUCCAAACUUCCAGACUAUCCUAUGCCCCCACUCCCCCACCCUUCAUGGCCCAUCUCUGCCUUCUGAUUGCUGUCUCUAAGGCUGCAGCAUUUAAUGGGUCCCCUUUAACUCUCCUCCUUUCUGAGCCUCCGUCUCCCUGCAGUUAUGGAGUGCACAUAUCUGCCGGACUACUGUGGAGAAUAGCAGGAGGGUGCAGGUGCUUCUUAGAUGCAGAUCCCAGUGGGCCUCCAUUUCUCCUCUGUUUGUCCUGGUCACCUCUGGACUGUGGCUUGGUUACCAGCAAGGCCAGGUGACACCAAGGAGCCCCCUAGUGGCCUGAGGAGUUGCUGCAGCCGGUUAUCCCAGCCUGCCAACUUCCCGGCCUCUGCAGAAAGAAGACCUUUGCUUUACACGCACAGACACCUAAUAUUGUCAGGCCACUCAGCACUUAUUUUUCUGUGAAAUGAGCAAGAAGAAGAACACAAAAAUCAUCUGGAUAUGGAAUUUUUUUUUUGGAAGGGAGGCAUUGAGACAGGGUCUCUCUACAUAGCCCUGGCUGUCCUGGAACUCACGAUGUAAGGCAGGUCAGGCUGGCCUUAAACUCUUAUGUCUUUACUCAGGGGUUUAUAUGAGGGAUCCUGGACACCUGUGCAGAGGUGACAGGGUCAGAGGGACCCACUUUUCCUGGAUUCAGGUAUAUACUUUGUGUGUGUGUGUGUGUGUGUGUGUGUGUGUGUGUGUGUGUGUUUGCUUGCAUGUGGCUUUGUGUGUGUUCAUGUGUGUUUGCAUGUAUUGGCGUCCUGAGGUCAACCUCAGGCAUCCUUCAGGAACCACCCAACUCAUUUCCCCCACCCUUAAGUAUAUAUUUUAAAAAAACUACAUGUAUGUACUUCUCUGUGUGGGUAUGGACUUCUGUGUGGGGUUCAGAAGAGGGCAUCAUAUCUCCUGGAACUAGAAGUUACAUGUGGUUGUCAGCUGAUAUAGGUUCUGGGAACUGAACACAGGCCCUCUGAAAGAACAGUAUGCACUCUCCACUGCUGAACCAACUCUCCAACCCCAACCUUGUUUUUCAAGACAGAGUCACUCGCUGAACCUAGAGCUUACUGAUUAGACCAGACUGGCUGGCCUCCGGGAUCCCUCUGUCUCUGUCUCCCCAGCACUAGGACUAUAAGUACACACGCUUUUUAUGUGAUACCAAGGGAUCUAACCCAGUAAGUUCUUUACUGACUGAACAGUAGCCCCGGCUGUCCUGGAACUCACUAUGUAGACCAGGGUAAUCUUGAACUCACAGAGGUGUGCCUACCUCUGCCUCCCAAGUGCUGGGAUUAAAGGUGGGAAUAAACCCCUUUACUCCAGGAUUUGAACUUCAGUGGUUCUCUUCACACUGGCGUCAUGGCGCCUUGGUAAAUUGCCACAGCCUACUGCAAUCCUUUGUGAGAGACCCUGAGUUGGUGGUGUGAUUCAUAGUUCUUGAGCCUUGACGUGGGGCUUCCAAACCCACACUGUGAACAUAUGCAUAUAACUUUUCAUUACCAUAUGAGUAGAGAGGAGGUGCCAGAAGCCUCCACUGGGGCCUCAGCUCCACACUGGACUGGGAUUUAGACCUGCCUGGGCAAGUCUGCCCAAGUGGUUGGUGAGCAGGUCUUCUGUGUUUGCAUGAGGGACUGAUUGCCCCCCAGAGUGACAGGAACACACAGAAGAUACAAGGCCAGAGACCUGGGAAGGAGAGAACACUUCUCCAGCAGCCUCUGAGCUGAGGCAUGGCUGCACCCAGACUAGGCUCCUCCAGGAGUCUUGUGACCGGGCCACCAUUCCACACCAAGCAGCUGGAGGAGGGCCAGAGGGCCACGGGAAUCUGUGCUAUCAAAUAUCUUACCUUGGGGACCCCUGGGGCAUACAACACAGCCAGUGGAAGCAUGGGCCUCACAACUGGGACCUGCAGAAGCAAGUAAAGGUUAAGCUCAGUCGGGGGCACCAUGAAACCCAGAAAAAUGAACUGAUGGCCUUUGGGGUGUUGUAAGGCUCCUAUGCCAAGUAUUACAGGCAGCCGAAGCUAACCAUUUACCAUUUACCACCCCUGGGGUGACUAGACCUGAGCUGUGCCCGUGAG
ensembl:lincRNA